UUAAUAUCUGAUACGUGGUUCAUAGAACCACAUGAUAUUAAAUGUAUUUUUCUAGGGGGAGGGCCCACUCACAAUAGCUUGCUAUUGGGGCUCUCGGGCAUCGCUUGUUGGAUUGAAUUUUAUUUGUUUUGGUAAUUUGAAA
rnacentral:snRNA from 1 species